rnacentral:rRNA from 1 species
GACGAACGCUGGCGGCGUGCUUAACACAUGCAAGUCGAACGGAAAGGCCCUGCUUUUGUGGGGUGCUCGAGUGGCGAACGGGUGAGUAACACGUGAGUAACCUGCCCUUGACUUUGGGAUAACUUCAGGAAACUGGGGCUAAUACCGGAUAGGAGCUCCUGCUGCAUGGUGGGGGUUGGAAAGUUUCGGCGGUUGGGGAUGGACUCGCGGCUUAUCAGCUUGUUGGUGGGGUAGUGGCUUACCAAGGCUUUGACGGGUAGCCGGCCUGAGAGGGUGACCGGCAACAUUGGGACUGAGAUACGGCCCAGACUCCUACGGGAGGCAGCAGUGGGGAAUAAUGCCCGAUGGGCGGAAGCCUGGUGCAGCAACGCCGCGUGAGGGAUGACGGCCUUCGGGUUGUAAACCGUUUUCGCCGGUGACGAAGCGUGAGUGACGGUAAUGGGUAAAGAAGCACCGGCUAACUACGUG